rnacentral:rRNA from 1 species
UACAGAGGUGGCAAGCGUUGUUCGGAAUUACUGGGCGUAAAGGGCGCGUAGGCGGUCUUGUAAGUCUUGUGUGAAAUCCCUCGGCUUAACUGAGGAACUGCACGGGAUACUGCGAGACUUGAGAUCGGGAGAGGGAAGCGGAAUUCCGGGUGUAGCGGUGAAAUGCGUAGAGAUCGGGAAGAACAUCGGUGGCGAAAGCGCUCUACUGGACGGUAUCUGACACUGAGGGACGAAAGCUAGGGGAGCGAAUGGG